rnacentral:rRNA from 1 species
ACACGAGCGGCGAACGGGUGAGUAACACGUGAGCAACCUGCCCCUGACUCCGGGAUAAGCGGUGGAAACGCCGUCUAAUACCGGAUACGACCAUCCUCCUCCUGGAGGGUGGUGGAAAGUUUUUCGGUCAGGGAUGGGCUCGCGGCCUAUCAGCUUGUUGGUGGGGUAACGGCCUACCAAGGCGAUUACGGGUAGCCGGCCUGAGAGGGCGACCGGCCACACUGGGACUGAGACACGGCCCAGACUCCUGCGGGAGGCAGCAGUGGGGAAUAUUGCGCAAUGGGCGAAAGCCUGACGCAGCGACGCCGCGUGGGGGAUGACGGCCUUCGGGUUGUAAACCUCUUUUACCACCAACGCAGGCUCCCGGUUCUCCGGGGGUUGACGGUAGGUGGGGAAUAAGGACCGGCUAACUACGUGCCAGCAGCCGCGGUAAUACGUAGGGUCCGAGCGUUGUCCGGAAUUAUUGGGCGUAAAGAGCUCGUAGGCGGCGUGUCGCGUCUGCUGUGAA